rnacentral:rRNA from 1 species
UUAGCCCUAAACACAAAUAAUUAUAAAAACAAAAUUAUUCGCCAGAGUACUACCGGCAACAGCCUAAAACUCAAAGGACUUGGCGGUGCUUUAUACCCUUCUAGAGGAGCCUGUUCUAUAAUCGAUAAACCCCGAUAGACCUCACCAAUUCUUGCUAAUACAGUCUAUAUACCGCCAUCUUCAGCAAACCCUAAAAAGGAAUAAAAGUAAGCAUAAUCACAACACAUAAAAACGUUAGGUCAAGGUGUAACCUAUGAAAUGGGAAGAAAUGGGCUACAUUUUCUACCACAAGAAAAUCACACGAAAGUUAUUAUGAAACUAAUAACCAAAGGAGG